rnacentral:lncRNA from 1 species
UUGAUUUGUGGAUUAAUUGCUAUGUUGUAUUGUUUUAUUUGUGGUUAAUUUAUCUUGUUAAGUUUUUUAAAAGAUCCUCAUGUGUUAAUGACAAUUAUUUUCUGUUAAUUAUUAAGUAUAUCGAGUUGUAUGAACGUCUGCUUGAUUGCUUGAUUGCUUGCUUGAUACGAACUGAACACUAGAAAACAUGUUAGUUUAAUCAAUUGAUCACUGCUUGAAUUGACUUGUUUGCUAAAGGAUUAGUAAUAAUGAACAUGAACCUAAUCAUUUUAGAAAUCGGUGAACAUGAAUAAAUAAAUCUGUGUGUGCAAUUUUCUAUGAAUUUAAGGUGUAAUCUAUCUAAACCAAAGUACCUAAAGAGAUUUGUCUUCCUGCCAGUUUAUCGAGAUUUGCUAUUUAGUUAUCCGUUUGAGAUUUGAUUAAACAUUUAUUUAUUCCUUCCGUAUGUUUUGUAACCUAUAAUCAAUUAUUUUAAAUUAAUUCACUACCGUUCCCCUUGUGUUCGACACCCUUGCUUAUCAAAGCUAUACUAUACUCGAUCGGGUUCUCUGCCUGUAAGGUGUGGUUUAGAUGCGAUAAAUUAGGACUUAUAAAUAAGAAACUAGUGCACUAAAUAUACACACCAAGUUUUUGGCGCCGUUGCCGGGGAGCGGUUUUCAAUCAAUUUACUUUAUUUGAUUAUUCGUUAUUUAUUUUUAUUUUUUUAGUUUUAUUUUAUUUUUAUUUUAUUUUCGUUGAUAUUAUGUCACUUUUCGGGAAGGUUUUUGUUGUUAUGUGCAGGAAUACGUGAUCAUAGGCAUUGCUUGGUUUUACUUUUUGCAUGGGUUUCGAGAUUACAAGCGAUUAGGGAAUUCUUGACUUAUUUAGUUUACUACUUUGUCCAACUCAAUCCACGAGGCGUAAUAUAGCAAGGCGUAUCAUGGUGGUUAACUGGAAGACCGAGCUCUUGCUGUUCUUGACUAGUUGGGUCAACUCUUGUUCUACUUUUAGUAAAUGGUUCAAAGAAAACAAAGGAAAUAGUCUGACAGGUCCCGAAAGUAUUUGUUUUCACAAACCACCUCUUGCAUGCAAGGGAUUUAAUCAACAAUUGUAGUUUGAUUUUGACGAAGACAUGUGAUCGUGAUAUCCUUUUUAGUUAUUUUGGUUUUUUAGUUAUUUUAGUGAGUUUUUAUUUUUAUUUUUAGUUUGUUUAAAUUUUGUUUUCCAUGUUGAUGCUCUUGAUGUUUCAGAUCUUUGAAGAAUUUUUACCCUUCAGAUGCUUUCAGAAAUUUCAAUAAUUGGGGUCGAAUGUUGAUUUGUCAUGAGAGAAAAAACCGUGUCAGAGUUUGAAGUGGACACUUGAGAGCCAUGACUUUCAAUAAGUGUGGGGUGCGCGUCGAUAUUUGGAGGGAUUAUUAUUUCGAAGAGUGGCGUUUCUAACUAUACAUUGAUUCCCAUGGCAUGGAUGAGCUAUUCCCACACCAUGAAGUUUUAUUUUGACGCGAUGUAGAAGUAUCAUCCCGACUGCCAUGACAUGGUUGACACUUUCCUAUGUCGUGGGGGAGUUUUUCAUCGCGAGAGGAGGCUGCUAUUCUACAUACCACGACGUGACCACCACUUACCACGUCGUGCCCAUGCUAUUAUUCGCGAUAUGGAUUUUUCCUCACUCGACGACACAACGUGGUUGACACUUUCCCACGUCAUGGUCACUAUACAUUGCUUUAGUUUGCAAUCGUUUGCAGCACAUUUCAUAAGUCAAUGUUCUUUUGUAUUUUCCAGUAGAUUCAGAAGCAGCAGUUCCAGUUUCUAGUGUUCCAGCAAUUUUCAGAGCAGCUUUUAGCAGCCCCAUUCGAUCUCGUCACUACUACCCCAGGGGAGUCUGUUCCUUUAUCUUUGUUUUUAUUAUUUUUAUGAGCUUAAUUAAUUUUAUGCAUACAAUGAGGACAUUGUAUUAAAUAAGUGUGGGGUAGGGGGUCGAAAAAGAAAAUUAAAAAUUGCUGGAUUAGGAAAAUUUAAAAAUUUAUAAACUUGAAAUAAUAGUUUAAUUUAGAAAUCUAGUGAUAAUUUAAAUCUAUGCUAAUAUUGUAUGAGAUGAUCUGAUGAGAACCCAAAUGUUUACCUGAGCCUACACAUGUUAUAGUGUAUUUGUGACUUCCCAUUUCCUAGUGAAAAGUCAUGAGAUAUGAAAGGUAAUCUGGUAGUUUAUAUGACAUAAUAUGUUUUGCAACCUAAACCUGAAACCUAUCCAGGAAAGCUUAUUUAGUCAUUACACAUAGACUAAUAUCUUAACCAAUAAGGGUUGAAGUUAAGCGCCCCUACUUAAGCAUGUAGGUAUUGAGUAAAAAAAAAAGUGAGUUACAUGAUAAAGAAAAAAGAGAGAGAAAUUACCAAAAAGUGAAAGAAUUUUGGAGCUAUCAAGUUGAAGAUCAAAAGAUCAAAAUUCUGAAGAAAUCCAAAAGUUGAAGAUACCAAAAAUCAAACAAAAAGUGGUGAAUUCAAAGAAAGCAAAUAUCAAAUAUUCAAAGAAGUGAAGAAUUCAAAUAGCUCCAUUGUGGUAUCAAAGUUGUAAUUUCUAGAAUUUAUGUAUACUUGGUUGUUUAGCCAAAAAUAUCUUGAGGUUAAGGAAGAUUUCUGAGGAUUGAUUCGGAGGGUUGCAGAAAUGAAUGUUGUAUAAAUUAAGGGGUGAAUGUUCAUAAGGAUUGUGAGUAUUUAGGAGUGAGAAGUUUCUUAGGAAUUAUAGACACAAAUACAUGCAUUGUGGUCUUGGGAUAAUGGCUGUGUUUGAAAUGGAUUAUUCUAUGCGAUAUUUAUGAGAUAAUAAAAUCAGAUUUGCUUGAGGGCAAGCAAAAGGCUAGUGUGGGGUAGUUUGAUAACGUCUAUUUUAUGCAUAUAUUUAUGAUGUUUUCUUAUUAUUUUAUACUAUGUUUUUAUGUUAUUUAGAACUAAAAGAUACUUAAUAUGCUUUGAAAUAUUCAAUUACAGUAAAAAUGGGAGCUGGAAUGCAAAAGGAAGAGAAUGGAGCUAAAAAGAUGCAAAAAGGAUAUUGCUGGCAGAUUGACCCCUCUUCAGUGUUUCGGGUAUAUCUGAUGACUCGCAAGUCCAAUUGACGAUAUUCAUAUUGUUCUGAAAACUAGACGAAAUUUCCUACGACUUAUGUGAGAGGGAGUUCUGGCUAACUCGACACUUAUCUUAUCCAAAAUCGGCCUUGAAGAUGAAGCAUAAAAGCUGGACGAAAAUUCCCUCCAAGUUACUUAUUCCCCAAGCACCACUUAUCUUAUUUUUAUUUGCUUAAUCCCUAAGCCACAUUAGUUUCCUUAUUCCAAUCCAAGUAUAAUAUUCCAUAUUAAUUCCAUCUCCAUUCAACUAUAAAUACCCCAUAUCAUUCCACCAUUUUUAAUAAUCUAUGAUAUUCUAUUUCGACUUGUGCAACAAGAAAACUUCAUAGCUGCCGUUUUUAGGGUCUAAAACGCGGCCGAAGGGCCGUUAAGCUGAUAUGGAGCAAAGAUCUAAGGGAUUAGAGAGCGGAUUCAUGUCGUUAAUCAUGUGGUUUUUUAUCGUGACCAUGUUUAGCAUUCCACUGUGAUACUACUAUGUUUUUACUUUCUGAUUUUGGUAUCAAAACCAUUUGCUUUGAGUUUAUGUUUAGAUAAAACCUUGAUUUGUGGAUUAAUUGAUAUAUUGUAUUGUUUUAUUUGUGUUUAAUUUAUCUUGUUAAGUUUGUUAAAACAUCCUCAUGUGUUAAUGACAAUUAUUUCUGUUAAUUAUUAAGUAUAUCUAGUUGUAUGAACGUCUGCUUGAUUGCUUGCCUCUUAUGAUUUUGAUGACCAUCAAGAUUAUAUGACUAGGAAUAGUGAACAUGAAACUAGGGUUAACUAGAAAAUAAGUAAAUUAAUGUGUGAGUAUAUGUGACGACCAACCACAUAUGAGCUAAUUG